GCCUAGCCUUAACAUAACAAUUAAAUAACCCAUUGCCCGCCAAAUAACUACGAGUUACAACUUAAAAUUUAAAAGACUUGACGGUACCCCACAACAACCUAGAGGAGCCUGUCUAAUAAAUGAUACUCCACGAUUAACCCUACCCACCAUAGCCUAAUUAUAGUCUAUAUACCGCCGUCGCCAGCCCACCUCCUGAGAGAAUAAAUGUGAGCCAAACAGCUGUAUCACUAACACGACAGGUCAAGGUGUAACUAAUGGGUGGGAACAAGAUGGGCUACAUUUUCUACUCAGAAUAUACGAAUUAAACUUUGAAAAAACAACUGAAGGCGGAUUUAGCAGUAUAUUAAAGACAAAAACACUUAAUUGAAUCCAACGCAAUGGGGUGCGCACACACCGCCCGUCAUCCCUGCAUACAUAAAUUUCACAUUUAUAAUAACUUCACAUACACCAGCCAGGGCAAGUCGUAACAUGGUAAGCGUACUGGAAAGUGCGCUUAGAAAC
rnacentral:rRNA from 1 species